rnacentral:rRNA from 1 species
GAUGAACGCUAGCUAUAGGCUUAACACAUGCAAGUCGAGGGGAAACGGCAAAGAGUGCUUGCACACUUUGGACGUCGACCGGCGCACGGGUGAGUAACGCGUAUCCAACCUGCCCUUUACUUGGGGAUAACCCGUUGAAAGACGGACUAAUACCCAAUGAUAUUCAUUGAUGACAUCUGAUUUGAAUUAAAGAUUUAUCGGUAUAGGAUGGGGAUGCGUCUGAUUAGCUUGUUGGUGAGGUAACGGCUCACCAAGGCAACGAUCAGUAGGGGUUCUGAGAGGAAGGUCCCCCACAUUGGAACUGAGACACGGUCCAAACUCCUACGGGAGGCAGCAGUGAGGAAUAUUGGUCAAUGGACGAGAGUCUGAACCAGCCAAGUAGCGUGCAGGAUGACGGCCCUAUGGGUUGUAAACUGCUUUUGUUUGGGAAUAAUCGACAUUACGUGUAAUGUUUUGCAUGUACCAUUCGAAUAAGGACCGGCUAAUUCCGUGCCAGCAGCCGCGGUAAUACGGAAGGUCCAGGCGUUAUCCGGAUUUAUUGGGUUUAAAGGGAGUGUAGGCGGUUGGUUAAGCGUGUUGUGAAAUGUAGAUGCUCAACAUCUGACUUGCAGCGCGAACUGGCUGACUUGAGUACACACAACAUAGGCGGAAUUCAUGGUGUAGCGGUGAAAUGCUUAGAUAUCAUGAAGAACUCCGAUUGCGAAGGCAGCUUACGGGAGUGUUACUGACGCUUAAGCUCGAAGGUGCGGGUAUCGAACAGG